CUCCAUUCAGUGUUGCACCAUGUUUGUGCAGUAUGCCACAAAAUAAGAGUCCCUGGCCACCCACAGUCCAGCCCCUUCUGUAUGUGUAGCUAAGGCAGAGAUUACACACUUCCUUGUUGUCAUACCCAUUCAUACCGUCAGUUGGAACUCUGACAGGUUAAAAUCAGUCAGCUGACACAUUCAGCCAAUCACAGCUGCUCAUUGCUGCUCAGGGUAAU
rnacentral:lncRNA from 1 species